rnacentral:lncRNA from 10 species
UUUGCAGGACGUGCAACAGGGUUGUGGCUCGUGUGUUCGGUCUCUGCCUGCUGAAACCCCUUAUGGGAGGUGGAGCAUGCAGACGGACGGGUGCAGGAGCCAGGGUGCAAAAGCUGGGGCGCUGGGCUUCCAGCCCCACGGCAGUGUCCAGGGGCAGGAUCCCGUGAUUCCCGGAGCCCAAAUGGGCGUGUGUUACAGUGUGCUCUUUUAGCCUUACCAUCAGCUGACGGCUUAAGUGUUAACCAGCUCAAUAGACCCUCUGCCUUUUUGCAAGCGCAGAGGGUCAGUGUGACAGUUUCUGUAUCUCAGCUCUUGUCUCACCUCCCAGAAGAAUCAGGUCACACAUGGACUUGAAGGAUGAACACCAGAGACUGGGUAAUUAAUAAAAAGAAGAAAUUGAUCUGGCCUACAGUUCUGGAGCCUUGGAAGUCCGAGAUCAAGGAGCUGCAUCUGGGUUCUAGGAUGCCUCAUAAAGGCCCGUAGUGUACUUUCUGUCUACUUCACUUAGCUCCGCAUUUGCAAUUUCUGUUAACAUGCAUACAGUUGAAUGGAUGGCCAGGAUCAAAGCUAUCUGCUGUGAGACACAAUGAGAAAUGCUUUUGUGUAAAGGAAAACACAGAUCCUGGUGCCGAACAUGAGGACAGGGCAGGCCGAAGGAGAAAGUGGAAGGAGGGGAGCUUCUCUCUCAGCCUCAUCCUUCUGGGCCUGGAUGCUGGAGAGUCAUGAGGUGCUUCAGAGUACUCUGGGUGAGGAGGGAAAGAUGGUGCCCACCACAUGGAGGCCAGCCUAGGUCUUGUAUGAAACCUGUGAGGCCAGCAGGAGCCAGGCCGUGGCCUGCUGACUGCAUCUGCCAGAUGACUACCAAUGUCUAGCUGAAAGCAGAGAACCCAGCAGAGGAUUCUGGGAAGGUCCUGGGGGAUGGCAGAGCCAGCAGAGAGAGGGUAUGGAUCCACCAGGCAUAGGAUGGAACAGAGCACUAUUGACCACAGUGAACUGGGGCAUGGGCAAUCAAUAAACACAUAUUAGAUUAAGCUAUUGAGACUCAGGGAUUUUUAUACAACUGACAUUCCCUAAGAAGCCAUGAUCUUCCUGUCUCAGGAGGUGCAUAAGCAGUGGUUGAAUGUUCAACAGUCAAGAAUGUUAUAAAAAGAGGUUCUUGGGAGAGUGGACCUGAUGGCCAGCAAAAAUCAUAGCUCACAUUUAUUGAGUUAUUAUGGCUCAGGCAUGUGCACAUAUUCUUUUAUUUAAAUCUACAAUAUGCUUUAUCAUGCUCAUUUUAUACAUGAGGAACACAAGGCAUGGAGAGGUUAGAUAACAUGCCUAAGAUCAUGAAGCAAGCAAGGGGGAGAAAAGAUACCCUUCUCACUCCUUCCAGACAGCUCACUUCACCACCACUCCCCACUGUCUCUAAAGCAAAAGUUAUUUGAAGGCUUAGGGACUGGUUUGGUAUUAUCCAUGCAGGGCGGUUUGUUUUGUUUUUCUUUUAAAAUUUCAGCCUAUGCUUAAAAGAUUUCAUGUAAAAAUUCUGUUUUCUAGUUUCUCUUGAAAAUUAAGAAGAUCUGGUAAAACUGGGCUUGAAGACCAUUAUGGUAACAGGCUGCUGAAGCUGAGGAGAGGGCCCCUUCAGAUGGGCAUAAGCACUGCUCCCCCUCCCCAACCCCCCUUUUAGGUUACUAUCAGACUCUGGAAGCUUCUGAAUGUGUGAACCCUGAAAGAGUCCAUCUAAAGCUAAGUUCUCCCCAGGGGUAGAGCCCAAUGCUGGGCAUACAGUAGGG